rnacentral:piRNA from 1 species
UUGGGCACGCACAUACAGUAGGAUGUGA